AAAUAGAUCCCAAAUCUGAUGGUGCAAAAAGAGAUUGGGUUGCAAUCUAUGAUGAAUGUGCAAGUGUCUUGUAUCAGGAGAUUGAUUAUACUAAGGAAGCUGCCCAUGCGGAACUGUUUGCAAGUAACUUCAAAAACAUGGAUUAUGUGAAAGUCCCAUCGAUAGACUGGGAAUAUACCACACCACAGGUUUUGACAAUGGAGUAUGUCCCAGGCAUUAAAAUAAACAGGAUAGAAGCCUUAGAUCAGUUGGGCGUUGAUAGGAAAAGGUUAGGGAGGUAUGCGGUUGAAUCCUAUCUGGAGCAAAUUCUGUCUCAUGGUUUCUUCCAUGCUGAUCCA